AUUGAACGCUGGCGGAAUGCUUUACACAUGCAAGUCGAACGGCAGCACGGACUUCGGUCUGGUGGCGAGUGGCGAACGGGUGAGUAAUGUAUCGGAACGUGCCCAGUCGUGGGGGAUAACGUAGUGAAAAUUACGCUAAUACCGCAUACGCACUAUGGAUGAAAGCGGAGGAGCGCAAGACCUCGCGCGAUUGGAGCGGCCGAUAUUAGAUUAGGUAGUUGGUGGGGUAAAGGCCUACCAAGCCAACGAUCUGUAGCUUGUCUGAGAGGACGACCAUCAACACUGGAACUGGGACACGGUCCAGACUCCUACGGGAGGCAGCAGUGGGGAAUUUUGGACAAUGGGCGAAAGCCUGAUCCAGCCAUUCCGCGUGCAGGAUGAAGGCCCUCGGGUUGUAAACUGCUUUUGUACAGAACGAAAAGGUUUCUACUAAUACUAGGAGCUCAUGACGGUACUGUAAGAAUAAGCACCGGCUAACUACGUGCCAGCCGCCGCAGUAA
rnacentral:rRNA from 1 species